UGCCUCAGUAACGGCGAGUGAAGCGGCAACAGCUCAAAUUUGAAAUCUGGCCGCAAGGUCCGAGUUGUAAUUUGUAGAGGAUGCUUUUGGCGAGGUGCCUUCCGAGUUCCCUGGAACGGGACGCCAUAGAGGGUGAGAGCCCCGUACGGUAGGACCACCAAGCCUCUGUAAAGCUCCUUCGACGAGUCGAGUAGUUUGGGAAUGCUGCUCUAAAUGGGAGGUGUACGUCUUCUAAAGCUAAAUACCGGCCAGAGACCGAUAGCGCACAAGUAGAGUGAUCGAAAGAUGAAAAGCACUUUGAAAAGAGGGUUAAAAAGUACGUGAAAUUGUUGAAAGGGAAGCAUUCAUGACCAGACUUGGGCUUGGUUGAACAUCCGGCGUUCUCGCCGGUGCACUCUGCCAGUCCAGGCCAGCAUCAGUUUGCCCCGGGGGAUAAAGGCGGCGGGAAUGUGGCUCCCUUCGGGGAGUGUUAUAGCCCGUCGUGUAAUGCCCUGGGGCGGACUGAGGAACGCGCUUCGGCACGGAUGCUGGCGUAAUGGUCAUCAAUGACCCGUCUUGAAACACGGACCAAGGAGUCGUCUUCGUAUGCGAGUGUUCGGGUGUCAAACCCCUACGCGUAAUGAAAGUGAACGUAGGUGAGAGCUUCGGCGCAUCACCGACCGAUCCUGAUGUUCUCGGAUGGAUUUGAGUAAGAGCAUACGGGGCCGGACCCGAAAGAAGGUGAACUAUGCCUGUAUAGGGUGAAGCCAGAGGAAACUCUGGUGGAGGCUCGCAGCGGUUCUGACGUGCAAAUCGAUCGUCAAAUAUGGGCAUG
rnacentral:rRNA from 1 species